AUGGUGUGUGAAUCAAGGACAAGACUGUCUAAAACAAGGAGCAGAGAGGAAUGGGCUUCACUAAAGUUGGACACCCUAGAGCCAUCACCGCCGAAGCCGCCAGAUCCAGACGGGUGCUUGGUGAAGGGUGGAUUAUCCUUUGGUUUGAUAAAAUCGUCGCUGCCAAUGCCUACUGCUAUCAUGCGUUGUUUUUGGAUCAAACAGACCACUCAAAACAGAGUGUGUGAACCAGGCAUAAGUUAUUACGUUUCACGCCUUGCUCUAUCACUCUACUGCAAAUUAUGGGACCCAGUGGAUACUUAUGUUAUCCUUUGUCAUCACCUUGAGGACAAGGUGAUAGUUUAG